ACCAGGCAUGGUGGCACAUGCCUGUAAUCCCAACAGCUUGGAGGCUGAGGCAGGAGGGUCUGGAGUUCAAAGCCAGCCUCAG
rnacentral:sRNA from 1 species